rnacentral:misc_RNA from 1 species
GAUGAAGAACGUAGCGAAAUGCGAUAAGUAGUGUGAAUUGCAGAAUUCAGUGAAUCAUCGAAUCUUUGAACGCACAUUGCGGCCAUAGGUAUUCCUUUGGCCAUGCCUGUUCGAGCGUCAUUUACACCUUCAAGCCUAGCUUGGUGUUGGGCGUCUGUCCCGCCGUUCUCGCGCGCGGACUCGCCUCAAAGUCAUUGGCGGCGGUCGUGCCGGCCCCCUCGCGCAGCACAUUUGCGCUUCUCGGAGGCCCGGCGGAUCCGCGCUCCAGCAAGACCUUUCACGACUUGACCUCGGAUCAGGUAGGGAUACCCGCUGAACUUAAGCAUAUCAAUAAGCGGAGGA